rnacentral:rRNA from 1 species
GACUCCAUGAAGUCGGAAUCGCUAGUAAUCGCGAAUCAGCAUGUCGCGGUGAAUACGUUCCCGGGCCUUGUACACACCGCCCGUCACACCAUGGGAGUUUGUUGCACCAGAAGCAGGUAGUCUAACCGAAAGGAGGGCGCUUGCCACGGUGUGGCCGAUGACUGGGGUGAAGUCGUAACAAGGUAGCCGUAGGGGAACCUGCGGCUGGAUCACCUCCUUU